rnacentral:rRNA from 1 species
GCUGGCGGCAUGCCUANCAUGCAAGUCGAACGAAGCCUUCGGGCUUAGUGGCGCACGGGUGCGUAACGCGUGGGAACCUGCCUUUAGGUUCGGAAUAACAGUUAGAAAUGACUGCUAAUACCGGAUAAUGUCUNCGGACCAAAGAUUUAUACGCCUUUNAGNAUGGGGCCCCGCCGUUU